rnacentral:rRNA from 1 species
ACAGCAGCAGCCGCGGGAAAACGUAGGGGGCAAGCGUUAUCCGGAAUAACUGGGCGUAAAGGGUGCGCAGGUGGUUUAACAAGUUAGUGGUGAAAGGCAUAGGCUCAACCAAUGUAAGCCAUUAAAACUGUUUAACUUGAGUGCAGGAGAGGAAAGUGGAAUUCCUAGUGUAGCGGUGAAAUGCGUAGAUAUAUGGAGGAACACCGGUGGCGAAAGCGGCUCUCUGGCUUGUAACUGACGCUGAGGCUCGAAAGCGUGGGGAGCAAACAGGAUUAGAGACCCCUGUAGUCCCUGUCUCUUAUACA